UUAAAGCUACUUUUUAGGCAGGGAUGAAGGCCGUUAGUUUAAUUCCCUCAUCGUUUGACGUUACCCCGAAAAAGAAGCACAGUUUAUUUCGUGGCCAGCAGGCUGUGAGUAAUACGGAGGGUGCAAGCGUUAAUCGGAAUUACUGGGCGUAACGCGCACCGCAGGCGGUCCUGUCCAAGUAGAAUUGUGAAAAUCCCCGAGCUCACACCUGGGAAUUGCAUUCGAAACUGGCAGGCCUAGAGUCUGUAGAGGGGGGUAGAAAUUCCAGGUGUAGCGGUGAAAAUGUGUAGAGAUCUGGAGGAAUACCGGUGGCGAAGGCGGCCCCCUGGACAAAGACUGACGCUCAGGUGCGAAAGCGUGGGGAGCAAACAGGAUUAGAUACCCUGGUAGUCCACGCCGUAAACGAUGUCGAUUUGGAGGUUGUGCCCUUGAGGCGUGGCUUCCGGAGCUAACGCGUUAAAUCGACCGCCUGGGGAGUACGGCCGCAAGGUUAAAACUCAAAUGAAUUGACGGGGGCCCGCACAAGCGGUGGAGCAUGUGGUUUAAUUCGAUGCAACGCGAAGAACCUUACCUGGUCUUGACAUCCACAGAACUUUCCAGAGAUGGAUUGGUGCCUUCGGGAACUGUGAGACAGGUGCUGCAUGGCUGUCGUCAGCUCGUGUUGUGAAAUGUUGGGUUAAGUCCCGCAACGAGCGCAACCCUUAUCCUUUGUUGCCAGCGGUCCGGCCGGGAACUCAAAGGAGACUGCCAGUGAUAAACUGGAGGAAGGUGGGGAUGACGUCAAGUCAUCAUGGCCCUUACGACCAGGGCUACACACGUGCUACAAUGGCAUAUACAAAGAGAAGCGACCUCGCGAGAGCAAGCGGACCUCAUAAAGUAUGUCGUAGUCCGGAUUGGAGUCUGCAACUCGACUCCAUGAAGUCGGAAUCGCUAGUAAUCGUAGAUCAGAAUGCUACGGUGAAUACGUUCCCGGGCCUUGUACACACCGCCCGUCACACCAUGGGAGUGGGUUGCAAAAGAAGUAGGUAGCUUAACCUUCGGGAGGGCGCUUACCACUUUGGAUCAGACCGCCUAU
rnacentral:rRNA from 2 species